rnacentral:rRNA from 1 species
GACGAACGCUGGCGGCGUGCUUAACACAUGCGAGUCGAACGGAAAGGCACUGAUUUUGUGGGGUGCCCGAGUGGCGAACGGGUGAGUAACACGUGAGUAACCUGACCUUGACUUUGGGAUAACUUCAGGAAACUGGGGCUAAUACCGGAUAGGAGCUCAUGCUGCAUGGUGGGGGUUGGAAAGUUUCGGCGGUUGGGGAUGGAUGGGCGGCUUAUCAGCUUGUUGGUGGGGUAGUGGCAUACCAAGGAUUUGACGGAUAGCCGGCCUGGGAGGGUGAACGGCCACAUUGGGACUGAGGGACGGCCCAGACGCCUACGUUGGGCAACGGUGGGGAAUAUGGCACAAUGGGCGCAAGCGUGAUGCGGCGACGCCGCGUGCGUAAUGACGGCCUUCUGGGUGUAAACCGCUGUCGCCUGUUACGAAGCUUGAGUGACGGUAAUGGGUAAAUAAGCACCGGCUAACUACGUG